rnacentral:lncRNA from 7 species
GCGGGCUGCCCUUUGCCGUGGGGUGGCAGGAGGAGGAUGUGCAGCGCAUCCCCAUCCACUGCCUGGGAAUCACGCACCGGUUUGGGUUUGUCUCUGCGCUUCACCCCAUGGAAUGGCUGUCCUGCCCUGGAAGCGGCUGUUUGGCUUCAGGUCCAGCCGACAAAACCAACGUGAUGGGGCAGAGGAAGCAGCAGUUGCACAGCAGGGUGAACCUGUGGGCACUGCGUAGGGUAAAUGCUGAUUGAAUUAACACGGGGCUGCCUAGCAGUGCGCCAUCACAUGCCAUCUCUUCUGCCUCCAUCACCGCUGCUGGCAGAGCUUAUUUAGAGCACGCAAGGGAAGAGUUUGACCUAGAGCAGCUGCAAAGAAGGAAGCAGAAGCAAUUCUGCUGCAAUCAAUGGCAUUUCCCUGGAUUUCUUCUGGCCUUGCCAAGAGCAGAAUCCGCUCUCAAGUCUGCAGGAAGCAAAGUUUUCCUUCUUUUACAAGAGGCUUUAGCUCUAAUUGCCUCUUCCUGUGACAGAGCGGUUGUCCCUGCUUCCCUCCAGCUGGGCACGGCCAUGGGGCCGGGUUGCCCAGGGCAUGCUCUGUGCUCACAUAUGAUGGAGCGUUGAACUGGGGCUGCUUGGGCCCUGUGCCCAUUACAUAACUGAGAAGGGUUCAUCCCUGCAGGAAAGCGCAGCAGCUGUGGAGGUUCUAUUCCCACUCACCCCUCCAGACAUUAGGGUUGGAGAUGGAUUGUACUUGAGUCUAAAGGAGGUGAAUGAGGACUUCUACAGAUUUAACAUGAAACUCUAACAUCUCUUUCCACUAAAGCUUCUGUCAAUAAAUCAUUUUCUAAUU